AGUUGCAAGCCCAUGAGCACACUCUAGUCUGAGAGACAGAGAGAGUCUCUCUCUCCAGCUGGGUUUACAAUGGGCUCCUUUUUGUAUUCCCUGAUCUGGGCACGGUGGCAAGAGAACAGGCCUGGGAGUCCGAGGAGGUGGGUUCUAAUCCUGGCUCUGCCACUUGUCUACUAUGUGACCUUGGCUUGGUCUGAUUUGAGCUUUCAGACUAAAAAGAAGAUACUCUUGCUCUUCAGAGAUGUUACUGGUUUAUCGAACGAGAACAAGGUUUUCCAGCCUCGCCCAAAAGUCCUAUUAAAAAUAUCGACGUGUCCUAGAGAAACGUACCCUCUGGUAAUGAGACCCAAAUCCGCGUGUUCUUGUUCCAGACUGUUUGCAGAGGAAGAAAACGAUGUUCUCCUACACAUGAGGAACGGCAAAAUUUUGAUAAAUUUGUACAUCUCUGUGCUGUUGCCUUGGGCGUAAACUUGCUAUUAUAGCUCCAUGCUUAGCUUCUAAUUUCAGUCAACCCCAUUAAAACCUCCCUUCCGGGGCAUUCUGACACCCAAGGAUAGAUUAAUUGGGGGAAAAAAAAAUGUGCUUUCUCUUUUAGUGGAAAAUAAAAGUUACCUCAGCAUGUAAAAAUCAAGCAUUUGGAGAUGGGGAAGCAAAUGAAAAUAAAAGAAACUGGCUCUCUGAAUUUCUCGUAGUA